rnacentral:lncRNA from 1 species
AAAAACCAUAGGAUAAGAAUCAGCACAGAUUACAAUCUUUUCAAAUCCUUUUCAGUCGUGAAACCAAAAUAGUCUUUAACAUUUUCGUAAAUUAUUCUUCCACAUUAAGAAGGGAAAAAUGCUGGGAAAACAGAGGUAUUUUGCUUACUUUGGGAAAAGAAAUGUGAACUUGUAUAGUUUCAGUUAAGAUUUGUCCAUGUAACUGUUUGGGGGG